GGUUUAACCAAAAAAAAACUGCUCUCGUUGAUCUCGUCAUGCAUCAUCAAGGGGUUCUGGGCCAUGUGCAUCCUAAGAACACGGAAGUUCUUCCAACGGCUGCUCCGCAAAUGGAAGGCUCAGCGUCGCGUAAGCGACGAGACGGGAACACUUUCCUGCACUGCAAUUUGGGAUUGAUGAAGAUGAUAUUGACGAUGAUCCAGAAUCUAUCACAGCAGAUAUCACGUCAUUGCUGUCUUUAUUUGAGCACCCGAGGCAAAACACCGAAAUAAUCAGAGUGAUCUUUUCAGUGUCAGAGAAAAUAUCUGAAGGUGAAGAUAUUUUAGAUGAUGGGUAAAAGUGGAGGAAAUAUCACCAGAAAACAGAGGAUGUACUAAAUCCAAGAAGCCAUUUCAAAUGUGUUCAAGGAGGUUAUUAUGCCAAAAAGAGAGUGCAGAUAUCUGAAGAAGACCCAACUAUUGUCGAAAUCAUUUACCAGGGAUUUCUCACUUGCACACAGGCCUCCAAAUGGAACACAUUCCUCCAUGAAUAAUCAGCUUGACUCAAUGACUCAAUCUGGGUAGAUGACGAUGACUUCGACAUUAAUGAUCUAGGAGACAUAAUCAGUAGUAAGGAGAGGAAGGGCAUUAAACAAAGAACUAUACUCUUGACAAAGUCAGAGGUAGAAAUGAUGAACGAUGGGUACAAGUGGAUAUAGCAUGGCAUCAAGACUUUGAAGAAGAGCCCCAACCCCAGGAAUUACUAUAAGUGUUUGGUGAAUGGAUGCCCGGUGAGAAAGAGCAUUGAGAGAGAUAGGGAUGAUUCAAGUUAUGUUAUGACAACCUUUGAAGGCAUUCACAACCACAAUAAAACCGGCUAUUGUCACACUGGCACACAGGCCUCUAGCGUAACAGAGUCCUCCAUGAAUAAUCAGGUUGACUCAACUCGGGGUAUUUCGGGAUAGAUGAUGAUAUUGACGACAAUCCAGGUCGUACUGUAUCUUUUUUUUUAUUUUUGGUUUUGAUUUCAGUUUGAAUGUCCUAAACCCCUUAUUCCUUUACCAUGUUAAAUUUGAUAAGUAAAAAUAUUAAUGGUAAGAGAGAGUUAUAGAGAAUGAUAUCAAUGACUUCUAGGUAUAUUUACCAAUAUUUGAUUUUAACUUUAUUGGUUUUUACUGCUAUUUUGCAUGCUAAACCACAUUUACUUACUUAAACACGUUGAAUUUAUAUUAAAAUGACAUGCAAUUAUCUUAAAUUCACUGUCGUUGUUAAAUACUAUCACAGCAGAUGGGAUAAUGGUCGAGCCAUUUCAGCCUUUCAGUGACAACGUCUUCAAGGACAGGAGAGACUUAGAGACUGUGACUGCAUGGACGAAGGAAUCUGGGUCUUUUGAAGGAGGAUAUAAUUAGAGGAAAUAUGGCCAGGAAGCCAUUCCUGGAGCCAAAUUUCCAAGAAACUAUUUCAGAUGUAGUCAUGAAUAUGAUUAGAUCUGUCAAGCUAUGAAACAUGUGCAGAGAAUCCAAGAGCGGCCUUGCCUUUUACAGGAUCACCUAUUGUGGCAGUCGCACUUGUUCUGAGCCUAGCUUUCAGAUCACCCUCUCAACUAAACAUGACAAUCCAACGUUCUUAUUACCACUUUCACCAAUGAAUUUAGAGUGCAACGCUGGAUGAGAUUCCUUAACUUCUAUAGACGCCCUGUGUUCUGAAUUGAGUUUUAGUGAGAUGUGCUUUUUUAGUGGCUGGAAUUCUUCAUUUUCUUUGUUUUUUUUUUUUUAAAUCAAUUUUAAUCCUGCAUCACAAUUUCAGAAUGAGGUGGGUUUGUUUUUGGUCUGUAAGUCUGCAGCUUCAUUUUCUUGAAACAACUUGAGCUUUGUCCUUCAA